rnacentral:rRNA from 1 species
GAUGAACGCUGGCGGCGUGCCUAAUACAUGCAAGUCGAGCGAACGGACGAGAAGCUUGCUUCUCUGAUGUUAGCGGCGGACGGGUGAGUAACACGUGGAUAACCUACCUAUAAGACUGGGAUAACUUCGGGAAACCGGAGCUAAUACCGGAUAAUAUUUUGAACCGCAUGGUUCAAAAGUGAAAGACGGUCUUGCUGUCACUUAUAGAUGGAUCCGCGCUGCAUUAGCUAGUUGGUAAGGUAACGGCUUACCAAGGCAACGAUGCAUAGCCGACCUGAGAGGGUGAUCGGCCACACUGGAACUGAGACACGGUCCAGACUCCUACGGGAGGCAGCAGUAGGGAAUCUUCCACAAUGGGCGAAAGCCUGACGGAGCAACGCCGCGUGAGUGAUGAAGGUCUUCGGAUCGUAAACCUCUGUUAUUAGGGAAGAACAUAUGUGUAAGUAACUGUGCACAUCUUGACGGUACCUAAACAGAAAGCCACGGCUAACUACGUG